CCUACGGGAGGCAGCAGUGGGGAAUAUUGCGCAAUGGGCGAAAGCCUGACGCAGCGACGCCGCGUGAGGGAUGAAGGUCUUCGGAUCGUAAACCUCUGUCAGCAGGGAAGAACGGUCACUGUGCUAAUCAGCAGUGAAUUGACGGUACCUGCAAAGGAAGCACCGGCUAACUCCGUGCCAGCAGCCGCGGUAAUACGGAGGGUGCGAGCGUUAAUCGGAAUUACUGGGCGUAAAGCGCUCGUAGGCGGUAUGUCAAGUCAAGGGUGAAAUCCCCGCGCUCAACGUGGGAACUGCCUUUGAAACUGGCAAACUGGAGUGUGUGGAAGGAGAGUGGAAUUCCAGGUGUAGGAGUGAAAUCCGUAGAUAUCUGGAGGAACAUCAGUGGCGAAGGCGACUAUCUGGAACAUAACUGACGCUGAGGAGCGAAAGCGUGGGUAGCAAACAGGAUUAGAUACCCCAGUAGUC
rnacentral:rRNA from 1 species